UACGUAGGGUGCAAGCGUUGUCCGGAAUUAUUGGGCGUAAAGAGCGUGUAGGCGGUCAGGUAGGUCGGUUGUGAAAACUGGAGGCUCAACCUUCAGAGGUCGACCGAAACCCCCUGGCUAGAGUCCGGGAGAGGAGAGUGGAAUUCCUGGUGUAGCGGUGAAAUGCGCAGAUAUCAGGAAGAACACCCGUGGCGAAAGCGGCUCUCUGGAACGGUACUGACGCUGAGACGCGAAAGCGUGGGGAGCGAACAGG
rnacentral:rRNA from 1 species